AAGGCGCCGCCUGUGGAAAGUGAUGGAUGGAUAGCCUCUGCUCUGCGGUCAGAGCUCAGUAUCACCAAGAAAAACAUACUGGAAGGACAAAUGCAGUGACACCGCCCUCCCUCCACCUUUCCUCCAGAGUACUGCCCCCUUUGCAAUGGAGGAUGGGGUGGUGGUGAGUCAGAGAUUUGCCAAAUUGGAGCAAUUCUUCCUGGAAUCCAGGGUCCGUGCUAUCUCUCGACGCAUAUAUUUUGUUUUCAGAUCAAACCCGAAUCUUCUCUGGAAGUGCUCCGAGUCCAGCUUCUAAUAACGAGUGGAUACGGCUCUCCACCGCUCCACCCCGCCCUCACAAUGCCCAGUUAGCGGCGACCAAGCUGGAAACACACAAUAGGACUUAACAUGCAAAACAUGUCACACUCACUUUCAGAAGGAAGGGGGUAAAGAUAUUUGGAGUUGUGGACGGUGGGAUCUGAGUUGAUUUUAUUUAAGAAUUCAGCGGCACUGCUGUUAAAUUAGUGGGGUUUUGUAGGGUGGAGGGAGAUACAGUUGUUUGAGGGUCUGGGACAAUGAGAUGGAGUUGCACAAAAAUAUACUAUAAUCGGAAAUACUCUCAGCACGUAUCUAAAUAUCUUGAAAUUCAUCUUUUUGUCUCCCUGCCUCUGUAUCCAUUUCAUAUUUUGGAAGUUAACGCUUUAGGAAAGGAUUUUGCUUAUCGCGUGCGAUGGAGGAGCUGAAAGGGAGACGAGGGUCUAUCAUUUCAAGAACUUGAACGGGACAGUGAGGGUCUGAAAUAAAACGAACAGGGAAAUACUGUGUUGGAAAUGACUCGGAGAUUUAAGGCGUAGACAGGCAGCGAAAGUCAAAGAUAUUUGAAAUUCACCUUUCAUAAAUAAAAGCUUGGGAUAGGAGGGAAUUCAUAAUGUUCCUAAACAGCAGGCUGUGUGAGUGGUCGGGUUUGGCUCCUCAGAAUUUAUUUCUUUAUCCGUUCUGUUUAUUUAGAAAUACAUUUAGUGUCAGACUCGAUUUACACAAACAAACUAGACUGAAGACAAAUGAGGCGUCAUUAAGCUUUUUCUGUACGGAUACUAUAAUAAAUAAAAGCCAAGCAGGCAGCAGAAGCAGA